rnacentral:rRNA from 1 species
UACGAAGGGGGCUAGCGUUGUUCGGAAUUACUGGGCGUAAAGAGCGCGUAGGCGGCACGGUACGACCGGUGUGAAAGCCCCCGGCUCAACUGGGGAGGGUCACCGGUAACGGCCGAGCUAUGAGUGCAGGAGAGGGAAGUGGAACUCCGGGAGUAGCGGUGAAAUGCGUAGAGACCCGGAGGAACACCAGUGGCGAAGGCGGCUUCCUGGUCUGCAACUGACGCUGUGGCGCGAAAGCUAGGGGAGCAAACGGG